GCCCUUCUCCUGCACACAGAGAGCAGGACAAACCUCCUGACUCCAGAAGCCAUUCCAGGCCCAGGCAUUAAAGCUCCAAAGAGGGGGAAGGGCUUCCCACUGCCAGAGGACAGGAGGACUUCAGGCUCCCCUUUCCUGCUGUUUGCAGCUACCGAGGUCUACAAACAUCACCCUGCUGGACCUACCUGCUGCACACACAGCUCUGCUGGAGGGACAGGAUGGGGUUCAGGUCAUGGAAUCACAGAAUAUCCACGAGGAUCACUGAGUCCAGCUCCUGGCCCUGCAUGAGACACCCCAGCAAUCCCCCCAUGUGCUGGAGCGCGGACGCCAGAACGGUGCUCCCCUGCUCUCCUCAUGACUUCAAGAGGUGACCUGAAGGAGAAGAGCAGCUUCUGGCUGGGCAGCUGCUAAGCAGGGCUGCCAGGAACCCUGUGAUGUCCUCCUGGUGCAGAACAGAGCACGGUGCUCAGCCCGUGGUUUGAGUUGGGAUGCGGGAUCAGACGCGACACGGAACCGACAGACAUGGGUGUCCCUCUAAGCUCAUCACCAGGCUGGGAAUCUUUGGGGGCUGGAGGAUGGAAUUUACUGACUUGUAGCAACGGUAGAGGAAGAUUUCUUCACCCCCCACCACACCAGGCUCCUUCCAGAACCAAACCCAGCACUGCUCCCAGUCCACAGCAAUGGACCUUUAGGCACUGGAAGGGGCUCUCAGGUCACCCUGGAGCCUUCUCUUCUCCAGGUGAGCCCCUACAGCCCUCCCAGUCUGGCUCCAGCCCUCAGAGCACCUCCGUGGCCUCCUCUGAUUCCAGUUCAGACCAGGAGGAAAGACGUUUUAAAAAAUUACUUA